rnacentral:rRNA from 1 species
UUUGCAUGGGGGCACCCUGACCGCAAUGCCGCGUGAGUGAAGAAGGCCUUCGGGUUGUAAAGCUCUUUUGUCAGGGAAGAAACACCGGCUCUAACACAGUCCGGGAAUGACGGUACCUGAAGAAUAAGCACCGGCUAACUACGUGCCAGCAGCCGCGGUAAUACGUAGGGUGCAAGCGUUAAUCGGAAUUACUGGGCGUAAAGCGUGCGCAGGCGGUUAUACAAGACAGGCGUGAAAUCCCCGGGCUUAACCUGGGAAUGGCGCCUGUGACUGUAUAGCUAGAGUGUGUCAGAGGGGGGUAGAAUUCCACGUGUAGCAGUGAAAUGCGUAGAUAUGUGGAGGAAUACCAAUGGCGAAGGCAGCCCCCUGGGAUAACACUGACGCUCAUGCACGAAA